GUAACCUACGGGGGGCAGCAGUGGGGAAUAUUGCACAAUGGGGGGAACCCUGAUGCAGCAAUGCCGCGUGGGUGAAGAAGCACUCCGGUGCGUAAAGCCCUGUCAGCAGGGAAGAAAAUGACAGUACCUGGACAAGAAGCUCCGGCUAAAUACGUGCCAGCAGCCGCGGUAAUACGUAUGGAGCAAGCGUUAUCCGGAUUUACUGGGUGUAAAGGGAGCGCAGACGGCAGGGCAAGUCUGAUGUGAAAGUCCGGGGCUCAACCCCGGGACUGCAUUGGAAACUGUCCGGCUAGAGUGCAGGAGAG
rnacentral:rRNA from 1 species